rnacentral:lncRNA from 1 species
CAAGGAAGACUGGAGCCCUCCAGAAACAGAUGGGCCCAGGUCCGUAAGCUGAGGAUUCAGUCCCCCCUGGAUUCAAGCCCAGCAUGUGCCUACCUAGCCAGAUGCUCCAUGAACAAACCUCCACCUCCCGGGUUCAAGAAAUUCUUCUGUCUCAGCUUCCCAAAUAGCUGGGAUUACAGGCAUGUGCCACUAUGCCUGGCUAAUUUUUGUAUUUUUAGUAGAGCCGAGGUUUCCUCCUGAUGGUCCCGAUGGAAAAAUGGAGCAUGACUGAGGCAGACACAACCGUCAGGCUGUUUACUCUUUAUCCUUACUCAGACAGAGAAAAAUAAGGCAAAGCUAUACAUUAUAAGGGGCAACAUAGUUAAAAGAAGGAAUAAAAAUGCAUCUAUAGCUUCAUCCCCUUCUUGUUAAAAUUACUAAAACUCAUGUUUUAUUGCAGCUAACCUUUUCUGAACUUUAUUUUAACUUUACUCUUUUGAGGUUAUGGGCCAUGAUGGUCAUUACUGAUUGGAAGCUUUUAAGAGACUCAAUGUGUCCUAUUGAACUAUAAUUAUGGGCUUUGGUUUUGCUAGUAUGAUAAGGGAAAGAAGAGCAUGGUAGUUGACUGAUUAUAAUGCUGGGUCACACAGUAUUGGCAAUUACAAGAUCAAGGCCGUGAUAGAAGCUGUCUGAAAAUUUAAAGAAACAGGCUUCAGAAAUAAAAUUAAAAACUCUUGCAAGUUUUGUAAAGAGCAAAUCAAUACUUGAAGAAAACUGUUGUUCUAAUAUAGGGGAAUCAAAUUUUAUUCAGCACAUAGAAAAUACUUUUCAUGAAUUCAUUUUUCAUAAACCUUUUACAACUUACUCAGACCUUUCAUUAUAUACUUAGACCUUUGUUUCUUCCUUUCUUAAACAGUCAUGUUACUUUAGGACAAAAAUGUACUUUCCUUUUUAUUAUUAUUUGAAAAAUAAUUUUUUUAAACUUCCUUACCAAAAAUGCAUAUGUAUGACUUAUAACUUCCUUCACAUCUUUCUUUCCUACUUACUGUUUUUUUCUAUCUUGUCUUUCUUUUCCAAAUUUAUUUUUUUAAAAAACCUUAAAUAGCCUCUGAACUUAGACACAAUUAUUCUUUUUCUCAAUAAAGAGCUUAUUUUAAUGUCUUUCUUAUAUUUUCAUC